UUGACCUCGGAUCAGGUAGGGAUACCCGCUGAACUUAAGCAUAUCAAUAAGCGGAGGAAAAGAAACCAACAGGGAUUGCCCCAGUAACGGCGAGUGAAGCGGCAAGAGCUCAAAUUUGAAAGCUGGCUCCUUCGGGGUCCGCAUUGUAAUUUGCAGAGGAUGCUUCGGGAGCGGUCCCCAUCUAAGUGCCCUGGAACGGGACGUCAUAGAGGGUGAGAAUCCCGUAUGGGAUGGGGUGUCCGCGCCCGUGUGAAGCUCCUUCGACGAGUCGAGUUGUUUGGGAAUGCAGCUCUAAAUGGGUGGUAAAUUUCAUCUAAAGCUAAAUAUUGGCCGGAGACCGAUAGCGCACAAGUAGAGUGAUCGAAAGAUGAAAAGCACUUUGAAAAGAGAGUUAAAAAGCACGUGAAAUUGUUGAAAGGGAAGCGCUUGCGACCAGACUCGCUCGCGGGGUUCAGCCGGCAUUCGUGCCGGUGUAUUUCCCCGCGGGCGGGCCAGCGUCGGUUUGGGCGGUCGGUCAAAGGCCCUCGGAAGGUAACGCCCCUAGGGGCGUCUUAUAGCCGAGGGUGCAAUGCGACCUGCCUAGACCGAGGAACGCGCUUCGGCUCGGACGCUGGCAUAAUGGUCGUAAGCGACCC
rnacentral:rRNA from 1 species